CCCCCGCUUUUAAUCACUUUGUUUGUGUAGGUUCCGUAGCUCUGUCCAGGGAAUUCGAGACUUGCUAAAUAGGAGAGGGUCACCUUCUCUUCUCUUACCUGUGCUUUGAGGUAGGUGCCAUCUGUGCGCGUAGUCUUUCCUAUACCCCCUCGUGAAAAGGUCCAGAAUGCAAGACUGCGCUACUCCGCUGCUACCUUUCCACUCCCAUCCUCUUGUUGUCAGCAGUUGUUCAAGCAGGAAGACCUGAUGGUAUGCGGCUGUCUCCAGGUCCUGUUCUGAAUGAGUCCUGUUGUCUCACCGUCCUGUCUAUCCAUUGUUUAUCUUGGAAGCUGCUUGAGCCAGAGUUAUUUUGUAGCAGAGAGGAGGACAGUUGGCCCACUGCCCAGCUUCUCGGGGCAGCAGCAGAAUAUGCAGAUCCCCCUGGGUCUUCAACAUCUCGGGGAAGCCGCCUUUUCUCAGACACAACGGCUGAGGGGGCAGCCACGUUCUGUCUGAAGCCUUGGAGACACUCAAGCUGCCACUUUCCCCCAAAUACCGUCCGCUGUGGAAGCAUCUGCUCCCGCGGGUGGAGAGAAAGCAGGCCCCUUCCAUUGUGCUCUGCAGACGUGGCCUCAUCAGGUUCAUCCUCAAGUCUCUCGUUUUGCAGUAGAAGCUGCUCCAGUCCCUGCUGCGUUUGGCUGAGUGAGCAGUUCACUUUCUCUUUGCGUGGUGGAUGUGAGGGGUCUCUGCUUGAGUCCGUAUCGUGGUUUGUUUUAAUGGCGUACAAAAUGAGGGAUGGCGAAAGCGAAUGUUUCGCAUUUCAUUGUUGAUCUUGCUAAUGGAAAAAGUCAUUAUUGAACCAAAUUGGUAAAAGGCAUAGGUUUCCUUAAGUCCCAGGUAAUUCACACUGACUUGCUAAUUCAGAUGCUGCUUUUUAUGGUUGCCUGUCCUUAUCUUUUAUUUCAUUUUAGUGGCCGUAAGUCGCUCACAUACAGACGGCCCCGUACGUGCACAUUGCCAACUAAUUUUCAGAUAAAGCUGCCUAGGAGAAACAAAUGACUUCUGGGGAGACAUCAGAAUUGAAGGCCUUAUUUGAUGAGGUAACAAAACAUAGGGAUUUUAUGAAACUUCCUUAAUAGGGAGAAAAGGUUGGAUACAUGAUGAAAGAGAAGUUGUUUCUUGUCUGACCUUACUUUGUGAGUCAAAAUCCCAGGCUACCUAUUUCUUAAUUGUGCCUCUUUCCCAACUAGGGGUUUGAGGGGAGAAAUCCCGAGAAAAAGACCAUAGAUGGAUAAGUGCUGUGCUGCUGAUUGUCACCUCAGGAAUGAAAUAGGCAUAAAAAAGGGUCGAAAGACUCGUCCUCCUCUGCUGUUGACACCUGGGACAGAUGGGCCUCUUGUGUCUGUUCCUGAAAUCCUGUUGACGGGCUGAAAGAGCUCCUUGCUGGUGGAGGUUGACAUCUGAUAACGAUUUCCAUGUCAUUGUUGCUAUUCUUUUCUCAUACUAUUCUCUGAAGGAAGUCAACUUCCUCUGGUAAUACAAGCGUAUGAGUUGACUCUCAAUUGUAACAGGAGCAGUAAGGUAUGCUGAGAAUGAGUGUGGGUGUGUGUGCACUUCGGUCUGAAACUCAGUGUUCAAGUGUGGCACCUAAUGAUUUUGUAAUUCAAGAAAAGCCCGUUUGAAAAAAUACUUGGCAAUUAUCUGUUAAAACACUUGACUUAAUCCUCUGUAUGUUAGGGGUGCCUGGGUAGCUCAGUCAGGUAAACGUCCGACUCAGUUUUGGCUCAGGUCAUGAUCUCAUCAUUUGUGGGUUCAAGCCCUUGCGUCGGAUUCUGUGGUGACAGCUUGGAGCGUGAAACCUGUGUCCCUUCAGGGGCUUCAGAUUCUGUGUCCCUUCCCUGGUGAGACACACACAUUCUCUCUCAAAAAUAAAUGAAGAAACAUUAAUUUUUUUUUUUUUUUAAAACAAUGUUUGGUUAGGGGAUUCCCCCCCUCCUUUUCUCAGAUGUUUUGGUUCUCUUUUGAUGAUAUGCUACACACCGAAGUUUGUGCAUUUCUUUAAGGUAUUUUCUGAGUAUUUUCAGGAGCCAACUUAAGAUGAUUGCUUACUUAUAUUUCUAAUUUCUAACAUAGUUUUACAAGUAACUUACGCUACUUACAAUCAUCGGGGGGAAUUUUGUCCGGAAACCUUUUAUUUACAUUUUUUAGUGGUUGUCCUAGAGUUUGCACCACAGAGUUACAACUAAUCCAGGACUGCUUCCCGAUAACACUCUCACCUCACGGGCACCUCAUAAUCACAAAGUAAUUAGAUUCCUCCCUCUCCUCCCUUGUCCAUAGCAUGACUAUCAUUAAUUUUACUUCUGUAUAAGGACUUCUGUAUAAAAUCAUACCUUGUCAAAUACAUUGCUGCUGUUAUCUUAAACAGCCUUACCUGUUAGAUCAAUUAAGAACAAGAAAAAUCAAAGUUUAUGUUUUAGCUUUGUUGUUUCCUUCUUCAGUGGUCUUCCUUUUACAAUGAAGAUCUGAGUUUUUGACCUAUCAUUUUCCUUCUAUGUAAAGAACUUUUAGGGGCGCCUGGGUGGCUCAGUCGGUUGAGUGUCCUACUUCAGCUCAGGUCAUGAUCUCACGGUUCGUGAGUUCGAGCCCUGCAUCUGGCUCUGUGCUGACAGCUCAGAGCCUGGAACCUGCUUCGGAUUCUGUGUCUUGCUCUCUCUCUGCCCCUCCCCCACUCAUGUUUUUUUUUCUCUCUCUGUCUCUCUCUAUCUGUCUCUCUGUCUCUCUCUCUCAAAAAUGUUUAACAUCUUACAAGCCUGGUCUGUCUGCUGGAUACAAAUUUCCUCAAUUUUUGUCAAACUACGUUUUUAUUCUCCUUCACUUUUAUAGGAUAAUUUCACAGGGUACUGAAUUCUAGGUUGGUGGGUUUCUUUUUUCUAACACCUUAAUUUCAGUCCAGUGUUCUUGCUUGCAUGGUUCUGAGAUGAAAUUGGAUAUAAUUCUUACUCUGCUCUUCAGUAGAAAAGGUGUUUUUUUUCCCCCUCUGGCUUCUUUCAGGAUUUUUUUUUUUUAUCUUUGAUUUUCCAUAGUUUGAAAAAUCUGUCUACAUGUAUUGGUUUUUGUUUUGUUUUGUUUUGUUUUGUUUGCAUUUAUCCUGCUUAGUAUUCUCUGAGCUUUCUGGACUUGUGGGUUCAGUGGCUGGCAUGAAAUUUGGAGAAACUAUCGGUCAUUGUUUCAAAUAUUUUUCCUAUUCCUUUCUUUCUUUGUUUUCCUUCUGUUAUUCCCAUUAUGCAGAUGUUACAGUGUUUGUUGUCCCACAGUUCUUGGAUCUUCUGUCCUGGUUUGUUUGGGUUUUUUUUUUUAGUCUUUUUGUGAUUAGCUUUUUAGUUUUGGGGGUUUCUGUUGAGAUAUCCUCAGACCUGGAGACUCUGUCCUCAGCCAUGUUUAGUCUGCUAAUGAGCUCAUCAGAGCCAUUCUUCAUUUGUUAGUGUUUUUGUUCUCUAGCAUUUGUUUUGGUUCUUAGAAUUUCCACCUCUCUGCUUCCAUUGCCCCUCUGUUCUUGCAUGUGGGCCCCUUUAUCUACCAGCAUAUUAAUCACAGUUAUUUUAAAUUUCCAGUCUGGUACUUCUAACACCCCUACCAUAUCGAAGUCUGAUUUUAAUGCUUCCUCUGUCUUCAGACUGUGUUUUUUGUCUUUUAGUAUGUCUUGUAAUUUUUUCUUAAUAGGUGGGCAUAAUAUACUGGGUAAAAGGAAUUGCUGUGAAUAGACUUAGUGAUGUGGUGCGAAAGUAUGAGGGGAGAGGAAGUGUUCCUUAGUCCUGUGAUUAGAUCUCAGUCUUUUAGGGAGCCUGGACCUCUAGACUGUGAACUUCACAAAUGCUUUUCAGUUUCCUCUUCUCUCUCAAGGUGGGACAGGAUGGCUAGAGUAGGGUAGAGUUGGAUGUUUCUCUCCCCCCAGAAGUUUUAGCAGGAGCUAAAACUAACAAGAGUGUGGGAGAUCCCAGUGGCUGAAUCUGCUGGAGUUUUCUGCUUUCAGACACGUGUGCACUGAGGCUCUCCCAGUUUGCCAGUUACGGUUCAGGGCUCCCUACCCCGGCAGUGCUUCCCACCAAGCUUUCAGCUCCUGGUUUUCUGCUCUGGUAAAUUAGGACUCUCUGUCGGUCACUUCCAUCUGGGGGGGCAAUAGUAGUUUGCCCUGUGACCUCACUUCUAAUACAGAUCUAAGAAGAGUUGACUUCUCAGUUUGUUUAGCUUUUUACUUUUUGUUAGGAUGGAAUGGCAGCUUCCUAGCUUCUCCAUAAACUUUUUAUCUACAAAUGUUGCAGUGCAGCUGUGUGUAAUUGGGUUAUAAGAUGAUAAAAUUGUCUGAAUUUCCAUCUACAUCUCAGCUUUCAUCGUGUGGACACUAGUUUCAAAAUCUGCCACGUAAUAGAACAGUGGGUAGGAGGAACUUUCCAGGAAGUAGCCUGUAUAGAAAAUACACACACACACACACACACACACACACACACACACACACUCCCCAUCCCCACCAGGUGCAAAACACUGUUUCAGUGGGUUCCAAUAAAGAAACUACAUUGAAUAAGUUUUCCUAUACUGAUGCUGUUAUUGGUAGAGUAAUAUUAGAGCUUUCCAUAUCUCAAGACCUCUUCUUUACCACCAUAAGGCUAGCCCUUCCCUGUUUCAAAAUCUCUAGUGUAAUAGGAACGAUCAAGAAUGUAGAAUGGAGCUUCCGGUAUUUCUGAUUACAGACAGUAAGUCCAUGCCAUAAUUCUAAGCAUCCAACUUGAGGAAUGGGAACAAAACAUUGUAUUCUUAGGAUUCCCAACCACUCAUAACUUCACUGUUCUGUUGCCAACAUUAAUUAAGUGAUAAUUAAACUUAUUUUUCCUUUCUUUACUGAUUUUCCUUUCUGUACAAUUUAAGUGGGAUUCAUUCUGUGGUUAGCAGUGCGAGAUGUAGCUGUCUUUUAGCAACAACCGAAGUAGGAGUUUAGUCCUCAGCUCGUGUUGUCAAGCAUUCGUGUUUUUAUGUACCUAAAUGUUUGAUGUGCAAGGAACAGAAGUAGUAUAUUUAAUCAUAUUAUUCGUGUUUUGUUUACAGUAGAAUGAGAUUUAGGAACAAGUUUUUCAGUAGAAUAUUUUCUGGAAGGAACUUUGUGAGCAGAUCUCAAAAACUUUUUUAUCAAGUACUGAAAAUGAUUGUCAACCUGUAGCAACACUUCAGAAAGCCUAAUUGAGGUUUAGGCUUCCUGACUCAUAUUCAUAAAGACAUCUUAAAGCAUUUAAUAUUUUUAAUGGACUUAGAACAACCCUGGUAGAUGUUUUGUUUUCCUCUGACAUUUUCUUCUGUUUUUAAUACUGUUCUUUAUUACGUCCGGAUCAAAGGUUAUUAUGCAUGAAGUGGAUUUAUUUUGGAGUUUCUUUCCUGAAAUUUUGAGCUAAGUUGACAUGUUUUUUUUUUCUCUGUUUUUUGUUUGUAUGUUUGUUUUUUGGUUUGAGACAGAGAGAGUGUGAGCAGGGAGGGGCAGAGAGGGAAGGACACACAGAAUCGGAAGCAGGCUCCAGGCUCCAAGCUGUCAGUGCAGAGCCCGAUGCGGGGCUCGAACUCACAAACCAUGAGAUCAUGACCUGAGCUGAAGUCAGACACUUCAACCGACUGAGCCACCUAGGCGCCCCAAGUUGACAUGUUUUAAUUAAUUUUCACACAAUGUGAAGAAUUGCCAAAGAGGUAUUUUUCUUGGAAGCUUCGAGGAUUAAAUAGAGUAGAAACAUUUUACUUAAAAAUUAAUAUUUUUGGAGCACCUAGUGGCUCGGUUGAGUGUCCGACUCUUGAUUUUGGCUCAGGUCAUGACCCAGGGUCAUGGGAUCACGCGUUGUCUCAGGCUCCACACCUGCUUAGGAUUCUCUAUCUCUCUCUGCCCCUCUCCCCUGCUUGUGUAUGCACUCACUCUCUCUAAAAAAAAAAAAAAAAAAAAAAAAAAGUUAAUACAUUUAAUGUUAUUUUGUUUAGUGUAUUAAAAUUCCAGGAAGGUGAGAAUUACGGUAGAAAUGCAAGCCUGUUAUUCUGUCUUACAUGAUUAUUUAAAUUCUAUUAGCGUUUAUUUACUUAAUUUUAAAAUAAUGUUCAUACUAAUUUAGAUAACAUACUCUUAAUAUUUAUAUUGUCCGUUUCGUUGUUUAUUUAACUAUUUGAUAGUUCUUGUUUUAGAACAUGAAAUUAACAGUUCUUGUGAUAAUAAGUAUUUCAGGAUUUCAGUUUUGCAUUAAUACAUGUACCUUAACUUAUUAAAUGUUAACACAUGAUGCCCAAAAGGAAAUUCUUCCUGUUUCAGGUAAAAAUUUUUGCCUUUAUUUGAAAGUGAAUAUUCAAAUAAUACCACAAAUCCAAGUGUCAUGCCUUAUUUGUAUUACUGACAAUGUUAGACUGACUAUAAUGGGUAGUAAUCCACUAUGUUGAUUACUCAUAAGUUUUAUGAUACUGGAAAUAACGUGAAAGUAAGCAUUUAGUUGUUUGACUUACUUGAGACUGCAGCCAAACUUGGUAAAAAUUUGCCUUCAUAAAUUCAUAAUAUCUUUUAGAAGGAGAUAUUUUAAAAUAUUUGUAUAAUUUUUAUUCUUUUCUUGUCUUCCUCUUUGUAGCUUGCCCUCUUAUUAGAUUCUGUGGAUAUGUUUCUCGAGGCCUCAUUUCUUUAUUCUCCUUCACUUCUUGGCAGUCACUCGUUAUAAUGGCAAAAUACAGAAGCCCUAUUUUUGAGCAUGUAUUUCUUCCCUUACUAGUGAAUUUCAGCUUUUUUUCUUGUUCUGCUGUUUAAUUCUCUGCUUUGAAUUGUCUGUUUAUAUGUUCGUUCAUGUUUAUUUUGAGAUACUGGCUUUUCUGUUGUUAUUUUUUUUUAAGCUAUUACCUCAUUGUUUUCCUCUCUAUAGAUAUUGUUGUUACCUUUCUCCCAGAAGAAUGUGGGAAGAAUUUCAAAUUGAUUUGCAUUUUAUUCUAAACCCACUAAGGUUGGAAGUCGGAACUAGGAUUCUUCAGGGUCUAUACCCUCAAUGCAGCACCUGUUAAGAAGGUUUCAGAAGCAAACAUUAAAAGAAAAAAAAAAAAUCAUCAACAGAAGGAGUAAGCAAACACAGCUAAAAACAGGAUUAAGUUCUGCAGGAACUUCAAAUAAUACAGUUGUUGAAGUCAGAAUGUAAAGCGUUUGCGGCACCUGGCUAGCUCAGUCAGUAGAGCCUGUGACUCUUGAUCUUGGGGUUGUGAGUUUGAGCCCCAUGUUGGAUGUUGUGAAUCUUCCAUUAAAAAGUAAAAAAGGAAUAUCAAGUAUUUGAAAUGAUUAGUGUCUUAAAAAAGUAAUUAGAGAAAAGGAUAAACCUUUAAGAAAAUAACCAGGCAGAGUUUCAAAAGAAGCCAAUGGAAUAUAUUUUCUGGAUAUGAACAGUGUAUUUUCGAGGUGAAAAAAAUUCACCCAUUUACUUUUAUUUAUUAUUUAUUUAUUUAUUUUUUAAUCUUUAUUUAUUUUUGAGAGAGAGAUAGCAUGUGAGCAGGGAGGAGCAGAGAGAGAGAGAGAGAGAGAGAGAGAGAGAGAGGGAGGGAGGGAGACACAGAAUCCGAAGCAGGUUCCAGGCUCUGUGCUGACAGCUCAGAUGUGGGGCUCACACUUACGAACUGUGAGAUCACGACCUGAGCCCAAGUCGGACACUUAACCCAUUGAGCCACCCAGGCACCCCAGCACCCAUUUACUUUCAAAGGCUCAGUGAGUAAUAGCGUAAGCAUUCAUUAUAGAUGCAGCCGUGGAGAGAAUAGUGAACUGGAAAAUAGUGUUGAGAAAAUCACCUGGAAUGUAGCAGGGCCAGAGAUGUCAAAUGUGGUAGGAAUAAUACAAGAUGAUGAAGGAUGGUAGUAAGUCCAAUAUGUUCUAGUUGGAGUCCUGAAGAAUAAUUAGGGAGAUUUAAUAUUUGAAGGGUAAUAUUCCAGAAUUAUUUAUGAUGGACACAUUCUGAGGUUAGGGAAUAAAAGAAUGUUAUCUUCAAAUGCUGAGAGAAAAGAACCGUCAGUUCUGAAGAGAGCUUCUCCACCUCACAAGGUUAGCAGAAUGGAUUGCACGCAGAACAAGGGUACUGUUUCCAACUAUUUUGCUGGGAGUUACAAAAAAUUAAAACAAUUGCCUUUGUAAAAAGGAUGAAGGAUGCUGCAGCAAUUUCAGGAGCACAAUAGACAGAUGAGCUAUCACAGUAGGAGAUACGUGGAAGGCCAACAGUCAGUUAUAGAGAAGUGGCAUUAGAAGAAGCGCGUGCGAAAACAGUGGGAAAGAAGGAACAAAGUGGAAAUGAACAAAGUUCAAAAGGUUAGGCAAUGUGUGAUAUAUAUGGUAACAGGGAGAAGAUAUAUAAGAUAGCAUAAUUGAUAUCUUCAAAGAGGAAGGCAGAAAUUUUUAUUUAGAUUUACUGUUAAAGGCAUAAUACAAAGAAAUACAAAGUCUAUUCAAUAAAUAGACUGAAAGGACUUGUUAGGUCUCAUUUAAUAUCGUUGCCUGAGUGUUUAUCAUGGAAACCACAGUUGCAGUCUUAGAUUUUACCAGUAAAGCUAAGAAUCUCUUUGCGAUCCAGAUCAAAGGAUCAAGUUACCUCUGGAGGAUAAAAUUCAGGGUGUUCUCAAACGUCAAAAUUCAGAACCAAAAUAAUAAUAUUCAUAAUGCCCUCAAAUUGGACAGAAUUUUUUUGAGAGACAGAGAGUGUAAGCAGGGCGGGGGUGGGGGGCGGCGCAGAGAAAGAGGGAGAGCGAGAACCUCAAGCAGGUUCCACCCUCAGCACGGAACCCAACACGGGGCUAGAUCCCAGGAGCCUGAGAUCAUGUGACCUGGGCUGACCUGAAGAGUCGGAUGCUCAACCGACUGAGCUGCCCAGGUGCCCCCAAAUUUGCCUUUUAAACCAGUUUUGCAUAUACAGUUCUGUGGGCACCAACUAUAUUCACAUUGUUGUGAAACCAUCAUCACCAUCCACCUCCAGAAUGUUUUCAGUCUUCCCGCCACUGAAAUUCUGUACCCCACUGAACAGUGACUACCUUUCUCUGCGGCCCGUGGCAGCUGCCAUUCUGUUGUGUGUCUCUCUAAAUUUGACUACUCCAGGUACUUCCUGUCAGUAGAGUCCUAGAGUAUUGGUCUUUUUGUGGUUGGCUUGCUUCCUUUUAGUUUAAUGUCCUCGAGGUUCAUCCAUGUUGUAUGGCAUAUGUCAAACUCUCCUUCUGUUUUAAGUCUGAGUAAUAAGUAGUUGUAUGCGUAUGCCACAUUUUACCUGUCCUUCACCUGCCGGUGGACGUGGACGGAUGUGCAUCUUCCUGCUGGCUAUUUGUGAAUAACGCUGCUGUGGACAUCCGUGCGCAGAUAUCAGCACGAGUCCCUCACUUCACUUCUUUGGGGUAUUGGCAAGUUUAACAAUGAAAAUUAAAAUGACACAGGUUUUUUGGCACUAGAUAAGUUGCUUACAAGGUUUAUAUGGAAAAAUAAGCAGCAGUGACAUGGCUGAAAAGAGCAGUAACAUGUAGGAAUCUUUCUUACCAGGACAUGAAACCAGGUUGAAAUGUCCAGCACGUUGUGGUAGUGGUGCAUGGACAGACAGAAGAUCAGUGGCCCAGAAUGGAGUAUACAGCAACAGACGCGCCUGGGUGACUCAGUCGGUUAGGUGUCCGACUGGAUUUCAGCUCAGGUCAUGGUCCCAGGCUUGUGGGAUCUAGCCCCACAUCAGGCUCUGGGUGGACGUGGAGGCUGUUUAAGAUUUUCUCUGCCCCUCUCCCACUUACGCCCUGUGUCUCUCAAAAAGGAAAACAAAAGAAUUCAGUUCAUGAGAAGUGUAGCAUUUCAUGUCACAGAAUGAAGGACAAAAUGAUUCAGCAAAUUCCAUGGGAGCUAGGUGGCUCUCUAGGAGAUUUUACACAUCCAUAGACAUACAUGUAUUUUAAACGUCAUGAGGGUUUUCAUCUCUCUCACUGCUGUUUUUCCUUUGAGAAUAAAGAUGCCAUUGUUAUCCCCAUUUGAAAAAGAAACACGACGCUGCUUUGAUUCCACUUUAUCUUCUAACUCUGACCGCCUACUUCUCAGUUCCCUUGUUGUUCUUUACUUGACUUCACAUUUUUCUCUGCCCAUUCUCUUUUAUACCCGCUCCCGUCAGGUUUUUGCUCUCGCGCUUUCCAGAAAGUGCUGUUGCGUGGUUACCAGUGACCCCGUGGGGCCACGUCCAGUAGCUGGCUGCACGCUGUCAUUUCUCUUUGAUCCACCAGCAGCACUGGGGUGGCAGCCCUUGGGCCUCACGUCCGGGGUACCGCAUGUUCACUCACGCUAAGUUUUUUUUUUCCCCCUGUUGUUACCUUCUGGCCCCUUCGUCUUUGCUGGUUCUUCUUCAUCUGUUAAUGUGGCCGUGCCUCACCUGGUUAUGUCAGCCCGUCUCAGGGCUUUAAAUAUCUAUGUGCCGCCGUUCAGAUUUGAAACUUCCUGCUCAGACGCCUCUACUGGGGUGUUUAGAAAGCAUUUCAGUCCUAACAUGUCCCAGACUGAUCUCCUGACAUUUAUUUUCCAUCUUCCACCACAGUCUUUGUGAUUGAUCUUCUCGUCACGUACACUGUUUUACCCUGGUCCACGGUCGCUGUCAUCUCUUGUCAGGAUAACUGCUCUGGGUUGCUAACAAGACCCUGGUCACUUUAUGAAGCACGAGGAAGAAAGCAACUAGAGGGAGGGCAUGUUGGAAGAUUUAAAUGAAAUCUUGUCACCCUUCUGCCCUUCCUCCACCUCAAAACCUCCUAGUGCUUCCCCUUUCGGGCAGUAAAAGCUCAAGCCUUUGUAACAGCCUAAAACGUCUGCCUGAUCUUCCCCGCUGCACAUGUUGUGUUCCUGUCCCCAUUCAGUUGCUCAGGUCCUGCCACACCAGUGUUCUUGCUGUUCCCUUUCAUCACUUCCUCACUUGAGGUCUUUGCCAGUGAGGCCUCACCCAGUGUCACAGCCCCGUUUUUGGCAGACUCCUGGCUCUCUUGGUAGCCUUCAGUUUUUCCCAGAACGGUCACCGCCUUUUAGCAAAUAAUAUUUUGAAAAUCUGUGUUUUUCUUUAUUGUUUUCCUCUUCCAUUAAAAUAUAAGCUAUGUGAGAACAGGGAUUUUUGUCUUUAUUCUUUCACAAAUCUCCAACACUGAGUAUACACCCAAUAUAUAUUGUCCAAUGAAGAAUUAGGUCACAUACCUCUUCUACAGAAAACCUUCUAUUGGUGUUCCCUUCCCUCUCUUGGACUGACAGAAGUCUGCCCUUGCACCUCCUGCCUCAGGGCCUUUGCUCUUGCUGUUUCAUCUUUGGGGUAUUAUUCUUUUCUCAGGUAUGUAAGUCCCUCCUUAACUGCCCUUGGGUUUCUGGGGAAUUGUGAUCUUCUCAAUUGGGACUUUACUGUCACCCUAUUUUAAUGUUAUAAAUCAUUUCCAACCCUAGAGUUUCCUCCUCUUCCAUGCUCUGAUUUUCUGCAUAGCAUAUUUCACCCUCUGAAAUACUGUUUGACUUCUCUUUUUAUUGCCUCUCCCCUGCUCAUGCAUCAGAAUGAAAUAUCCAUGUUAAAAGGAAUUUUUUCCACUGGUGUUAUUCUUUGCACUUAAACGGUAGGUACUUAAUAACUAUUACCUGAAAAAAAUGAGUUCCUGAUUAAGCAAGAAUUCAAGAUUAUAAAGUAAAAUCAGUAGUGUUUUUGAAUAUCAUCAAUUUAGAAAAACUAACAAAAAAUUCAUUCAUGCAUGUAACAUUUUUUAUGAAAUAUUUAGAAAUAACCUUGACAGCAAGUGUUUAGGAUCUGUUUGAAUAAGAUUAUAAAUAUCCAGUAAUACUAAAAACUUUCACUAGAUAAAAUUGCUUUCUUAUUGUAGAGCUAAUGUUAGGGUUGAGAUACCUUUUUUCAUACACACACACACACACACACACACACACACACAUACACAUACACUUAAAGACAUUUAGAGUUUUUUUCAAACUUCAAAUGGAUCUCAGGGCCACCGCUAAGUAUACAUAUGCGAAAAUCAUGAGGAAACCUUAUGAAAAUCUCCUAAAAUUAGUGAUUUGGGAUAUACAAGUCUAUGAACUUAAAAACCCUUGGAUUUGUGCUCUAAAAGAUGGAAUUUUAUGGUAUGUGAUUAUAUCUCCAUAAUACUAUAAAAUAACCCAAGGAAAUUCUGCAGGAAUACAAAAAAGAAAAAGGAGUCUUUUCAAGUAUUAGAAGUUUUUAUAGAGUUAGAAUAUCAAUACAUUGUAUUGGUGGCUCGGGAAUAAGCGUAA